rnacentral:rRNA from 1 species
UACGUAGGGUGCAAGCGUUAUCCGGAAUUAUUGGGCGUAAAGAGCUCGUAGGCGGUUUGUCACGUCUGCUGUGAAAACUGGAGGCUCAACCUCCAGCCUGCAGUGGGUACGGGCAGACUAGAGUGCGGUAGGGGAGAGUGGAAUUCCUGGUGUAGCGGUGGAAUGCGCAGAUAUCAGGAGGAACACCGAUGGCGAAGGCAGAUCUCUGGGCCGUAACUGACGCUGAGGAGCGAAAGCAUGGGGAGCGAACAGG